rnacentral:lncRNA from 1 species
ACCCCCCAGCGGAAAAAUGGCCAGAAAACGCGUGGGCUAUAGCCUUGGUGGGGGGCGUGGGCGAAGUUCGUCCGCGGGACUCGGAAUGGCCCCAGACUUGGCGGGCGGCCUCCGUGUGCCAAAAAUAGGCCACGGGCACAGCCGCGCCCAAAAAUCAGCCCCCGAAGGUCGGGGUCCCAAGACCCCCCAGCGGAAAAAUGGCCAAGAAACGGGUGGGCUAUAGCCUUGGUGGGGGGCGUGGGCGAAGUUCGUCCGCGGGACUCGGAAUGGCCCCAGACUUGGCGGGCGGCCUCCGUGUGCCAAAAAUAGACCACGGGCACAGCCGCGCCCAAAAAUCAGCCCCCGAAGGUCGGGGUCCCAAGACCCCUCAGCGGAAAAAAGGCCAAGAAACGCGUGGGCUAUAGCCUUGGUGGGGGGCGUGGGCGAAGUUCGUCCGCGGGACUCGGAAUGGCCCCAGACUUGGCGGGCGGCCUCCGUGUGCCAAAAAUAGGCCACGGGCACAGCCGCGCCCAAAAAUCAGCCCCCGAAGGUCGGGGUCACAAGACCCCCCAGCGGAAAAAUGGCCAAAAAACGGGUGGGCUAUAGCCUUGGUGGGGGGCGUGGGCGAAGUUCAUCCGCGGGACUCGGAAUGGCACCAGACAUGGCGGGCGGCCUCCGUGUGCCAAAAAUAGGCCACGGGCACAGCCGCGCCCAAAAAUCAGCCCCCGAAGGUCGGGGUCCCAAGACCCCCCAGCGGAAAAAAGGCCAAAAAACGCGUGGGCUAUAGCCUUGGUGGGGGGCGUGGGCGAAGUUCGUCCGCGGGACUCGGAAUGGCACCAUACUUGGCGGGCGGCCUCCGUGUGCGAAAAAUAGGCCACGGGCACAGCCGCGCCCAAAAAUCAGCCCCCGAAGGUCGGGGUCCCAAGACCCCCCAGCGGAAAAAUGGCCAAGAAACGCGUGGGCUAUAGCCUUGGUGGGGGGCGUGGGCGAAGUUCGUCCGCGGGACUCGGAAUGGUACCAUACUUGGCGGGCGGCCUCCGUGUGCCAAAAAUAGGCCACGGGCACAGCCGCGCCCAAAAAUCAGCCCCCGAAGGUCGGGGUCACAAGACCCCCCAGCGGAAAAAUGGCCAAAAAACGGGUGGGCUAUAGCCUUGGUGGGGGGCGUGGGCGAAGUUCGUCCGCGGGACUCGGAAGGGCACCAUACUUGGCGGGCGGCCUCCGUGUGCCAAAAAUAGGCCACGGGCACGGCCGCGCCCAAAAAUCAGCCCCCGAAGGUCGGGGUCACAAGACCCCCCAGCGGAAAAAUGGCCAAAAAACGGGUGGGCUAUAGCCUUGGUGGGGGGCGUGGGCGAAGUUCGUCCGCGGGACUCGGAAUGGCACCAGACUUGGCGGGCGGCCUCCGUGUGCCAAAAAUAGGCCACGGGCACAGCCGCGCCCAAAAAUCAGCCCCCGAAGGUCGGGAUCCCAAGACCCCCCAGCGGAAAAAAGGCCAAAAAACGCGUGGGCUAUAGCCUUGGUGGGGGGCGUGGGCGAAGUUCGUCCGCGGGACUCGGAAUGGCACCAUACUUGGCGGGCGGCCUCCGUGUGCGAAAAAUAGGCCACGGGCACAGCCGCGCCCAAAAAUCAGCCCCCGAAGGUCGGGGUCCCAAGACCCCCCAGCGGAAAAAUGGCCAAGAAACGCGUGGGCUAUAGCCUUGGUGGGGGGCGUGGGCGAAGUUCGUCCGCGGGACUCGGAAUGGCACCAUACUUGGCGGGCGGCCUCCGUGUGCG